rnacentral:lncRNA from 1 species
GUUGUAUAUGUAUGGAUUGUUGUAUAUAAGGCUUGUUGAAUGCAAUGUGUGAAAAGGGCUUCAAAUUAUACAGUUUUAGGUGUACUGCUUCAAUAUACAGGUUGUCUAAAAUAAAUAAAUAAAUAUAGCGCUUUUUUAAAAAAAAAUUUAAAUAACCACCCACUUUAGAGGGCGCUUUCCAAAAUAAGCGCCCCUCUAAACCCUUUUAAUUUCCACUUUAGAGGGCGCUUUCCAGU